rnacentral:rRNA from 1 species
UACGGAAGGUCCGGGCGUUAUCCGGAUUUAUUGGGUUUAAAGGGAGCGCAGGCUGGAUCUUAAGCGUGUUGUGAAAUGUACCGGCUCAACCGGUGGUGUGCAGCGCGAACUGGAGUCCUUGAGUGAGUACGACGUCAGCGGAAUUCGUGGUGUAGCGGUGAAAUGCUUAGAUAUCACGAAGAACACCGAUUGCGAAGGCAGCUGACGAGUCCUUAACUGACGCUAAAGCUCGAAAGUGCGGGUAUCGAAC